UUUGGAUGUGGCACCACACCGUACAUGCCAUUUGGCUUGGAGAACAGAAUGCGCCAUGGGACAACCUCAGAGAUAUCUCUCCAGAUGUGGUCUCUUACUUGGGUGAUGUGUCUCCUCUCCUGACUGUCUUCAUACCCGAAGGAUUUAUUUUCCAUUUGGAAGUAUUUUAAGUUGAAAUCUUGUUCCUUACUGGAAACUGUCUACACUAAAGACUGCAGGCAUCAUGGGUGAUAUGGCAAACAACUCGGUCGCAUAUAGUGGUGUAAAAAAUGCUGUCAAAGAAGCUAAUCAUGGAGAUUUUGGAGUUACUCUUGCAGAGCUCCGUUCUCUUAUGGAACUUCGAGCUGCAGAUGCACUGCAUAAAAUACAGGAAUGCUAUGGAGAUGUACAUGGUAUCUGUACAAAAUUGAAAACUUCACCAAAUGAAGGUUUAAGUGGAAAUCCAGCAGAUAUAGAAAGGAGAGAAGCAGUUUUUGGGAAGAACUUUAUACCUCCUAAAAAGCCAAAAACAUUUCUUCAGUUAGUAUGGGAAGCACUACAGGACGUUACACUAAUUAUAUUAGAAAUUGCAGCCGUAGUAUCCUUGGGCCUUUCUUUUUACCAGCCUCCAGGAGGAAAUGAAUCAUUAUGUGGAUCAGUAAAUGUUGGUGAAGAAGAGGAGGAAUCUGAAGCAGGUUGGAUUGAAGGAGCAGCAAUCCUCCUAUCUGUAGUUUGUGUGGUAUUAGUAACAGCUUUCAAUGACUGGAGUAAAGAGAAACAAUUUCGGGGAUUGCAGAGCCGUAUUGAACAAGAACAGAAAUUCACAGUCAUCAGAGGUGGCCAAGUCAUCCAAAUACCAGUAGCUGACAUAAUUGUUGGAGAUAUUGCACAAGUGAAAUACGGUGAUCUUUUACCGGCUGAUGGCGUACUCAUUCAAGGAAAUGACCUCAAAAUUGAUGAGAGCUCACUGACUGGAGAAUCUGAUCAUGUUAAGAAGUCUCUGGACAGGGAUCCUAUGCUGCUGUCAGGUACACAUGUGAUGGAAGGCUCUGGAAGAAUGGUGGUUACUGCUGUAGGUGUGAACUCUCAGACUGGAAUCAUCUUUACUUUACUUGGAGCUGGAGGAGAUGAAGAGGAGAAGGAGAAGGAAAAAGAGAAGAAGGACAAGAAAAGUAAAAAGCAAGAUGGAGCUGUUGAAAACCGUAACAAAGCAAAAGCUCAAGAUGGUGCAGCCAUGGAAAUGCAACCACUGAAGAGUGAAGAUGGUGGGGAUGGAGAUGAGAAAGACAAGAAGAGAGCAAAUCUGCCAAAGAAAGAAAAGUCGGUUCUUCAAGGCAAACUCACGAAGCUCGCAGUUCAGAUUGGCAAAGCAGGUUUGUUGAUGUCUGCAAUCACAGUCAUUAUCCUUGUGCUAUAUUUCGUAAUUGAUACAUUCUGGGUUCAGAAGAGACCGUGGCUUGCUGAAUGUACACCAAUUUAUAUUCAGUAUUUUGUGAAGUUCUUCAUUAUUGGAGUUACAGUCUUGGUGGUGGCAGUACCAGAAGGUCUUCCACUUGCAGUCACUAUAUCUCUGGCUUACUCUGUUAAGAAAAUGAUGAAAGAUAAUAACUUGGUGAGACAUCUGGAUGCAUGUGAAACAAUGGGCAAUGCAACAGCUAUUUGCUCAGAUAAAACAGGAACAUUGACCAUGAACAGAAUGACAGUGGUCCAAGCCUACAUCAAUGAAAAGCAUUAUAAAAAAAUUCCAGAACCAGAAGCUAUUCCAGAGAAAACUAUGGCUUACCUUGUGACAGGAAUUUCUGUUAAUUGUGCUUAUACUUCCAAAAUACUGCCUCCUGAAAAAGAGGGUGGCCUACCACGUCAUGUUGGAAAUAAAACUGAAUGUGCCUUGCUGGGAUUGCUCUUGGAUUUAAAACGUGAUUAUCAGGACGUAAGAAAUGAGAUACCAGAAGAGGAUUUAUACAAAGUGUACACCUUCAACUCUGUUAGAAAAUCUAUGAGUACUGUGUUAAAAAACUCUGAUGGCAGUUUCCGGAUAUUCAGUAAAGGUGCCUCUGAGAUAGUUCUUAAAAAGUGCUUCAAAAUACUGAGUGCUAAUGGAGAACCAAAGGUUUUUAGACCUAGGGACCGUGAUGAUAUCGUGAAAACCGUCAUUGAGCCAAUGGCUUCUGAAGGGCUCAGAACCAUCUGCCUGGCAUUCAGAGACUUCCCAGCAGGGGAACCUGAGCCAGAAUGGGACAAUGAAAAUGACAUUGUUACUGGUCUGACGUGCAUUGCUGUUGUUGGGAUUGAAGAUCCUGUGAGACCUGAGGUACCUGAUGCAAUAAAAAAGUGUCAACGUGCAGGCAUAACUGUCCGCAUGGUCACUGGCGAUAACAUUAACACUGCUCGUGCUAUUGCGCUGAAGUGUGGUAUUCUGAAUCCUGGUGAAGACUUCCUGUGUUUGGAGGGCAAAGACUUUAACAGGAGGAUACGCAAUGAAAAAGGAGAGAUAGAGCAAGAGCGAAUAGAUAAAAUUUGGCCAAAGCUACGUGUUCUUGCAAGAUCUUCUCCCACUGACAAACACACUCUAGUAAAAGGUAUAAUUGACAGCACUGUCUUUGAACAGAGGCAAGUUGUAGCAGUAACUGGUGAUGGUACCAAUGAUGGUCCAGCUCUGAAGAAGGCAGAUGUUGGAUUUGCUAUGGGCAUUGCUGGAACAGAUGUAGCUAAGGAAGCUUCUGAUAUUAUCCUUACAGACGACAACUUCACAAGUAUUGUCAAAGCAGUUAUGUGGGGACGAAACGUGUAUGACAGCAUCUCCAAAUUUCUUCAGUUCCAGCUUACUGUCAAUGUAGUAGCAGUAAUUGUUGCUUUUACAGGAGCAUGCAUAACACAAGAUUCUCCGCUUAAAGCUGUGCAGAUGCUGUGGGUCAAUCUCAUCAUGGACACAUUAGCUUCUCUUGCCCUGGCAACGGAACCCCCCACCGAGUCUCUUCUGCUGCGAAAGCCUUAUGGUAGAAACAAACCUUUGAUUUCCCGUACGAUGAUGAAGAACAUUUUGGGACAUGCUUUCUACCAACUCGUAGUGGUCUUCACGCUCCUGUUUGCUGGUGAGAAAAUCUUUGAUAUCGAUAGUGGAAGAAACGCACCUCUGCAUGCUCCUCCUUCAGAGCAUUAUACUAUUGUAUUUAACACAUUUGUGAUGAUGCAGCUUUUUAAUGAAAUUAAUGCCCGAAAAAUUCACGGUGAAAGAAACGUUUUUGAAGGAAUCUUUAACAACGCGAUCUUCUGUUCUAUUGUUCUGGGGACAUUUGUUGUGCAGAUAAUUAUUGUGCAGUUUGGUGGGAAGCCUUUCAGUUGCUCAGAACUCUCAAUUGAACAGUGGCUGUGGUCCAUUUUCCUGGGCAUGGGAACACUACUCUGGGGUCAGUUGAUUUCAACAAUUCCGACCAGCCGUCUGAAAUUCCUUAAAGAAGCUGGUCAUGGCACACAGAAGGAAGAGAUUCCUGAAGAAGAACUAGCAGAAGAUGUAGAGGAGAUCGAUCAUGCUGAGAGGGAAUUACGUCGUGGUCAGAUCUUGUGGUUUAGGGGCCUAAACAGGAUACAAACUCAGGUAUGGUCUUGAAAAAGGUAGGACUCAGUGGGUGUUUUGAGGGAAAUCUCUCCUCUCAUCUCCAGUCCUUUGACUAAGGUGGCAGUUCUACCUGGUGUGACUGAGAUUGCCAAAAGGGGGUAUGGAUGGAUGUGUAAUCCCUCAGGGUCCUCUGUUUUCUUCAGCUCUAAAUGCAACUCUUGCCUGAGUAUCUACUCUAUUUAGAAAAAAAAAAGUGCCUUUUUUUCUUUACUUUUUGUGUGUUAUAGAUGGGAUGGUCCUUUCUCUUGUUCUCUCUCUCUCUUGCUGAGCAAGCUGUCACAAUCUCUGAUUCCUUGCAGAUGGAUGUAGUGAAUGCUUUCCAGAGUGGAAGUACCAUUCAGGGGGCUCUAAGGCGGCAACCCUCCAUCGCCAGCCAGCACCAUGAUGUAACAAAUAUUUCUACCCCUACACAUGUAGUGUUUUCCUCUACUACUGCUUCUACUACUGUGGGGUAUCCGAGUGGUGAAUGCAUUUCGUAGCUCCUUGUACGAGGGGCUCGAGAAACCUGAGACACGAAGUUCGAUUCACAAUUUUAUGACGCAUCCCGAGUUUAGAAUAGAAGACUCCGAGCCUCAUAUUCCCCUUAUUGAUGAUACCGAUGCUGAAGAUGACGCUCCAACAAAACGCAACUCUACUCCCCCACCCUCCCCCAAUAAAAAUAACAAUGCGGUUGACAGUGGAAUUCACCUUACAACAGACAUGAACAAGUCUGCUACCUCUUCAUCCCCAGGGAGCCCGCUACAUAGUUUGGAAACAUCACUCUGAUUGUAAGCUGAAUGUUAACACACUAGCUGCAUUGUAAAGAAAUUGAAACUGGGUCUCUUCACACAUUAUGAUGGACAAGAUGAUAUUCUUGUCUUGGACUUCAACAGAAGACACACUUGUACGAAUGUAGAUUUAUUUUUUUAAAAAAAAAAAAGCUUUCUGCCAGACUGGAGGGUGCUUUUCUGGGGGUGGGAGUAAUAAUGAACUCUGACAGAUAAACAGUAACUCAGCAUAAGUGACCUGUGGAUCAUCUGUUGUACUUAAGAAUGGUCCUGAACAGUGUGUUAGCAGAGCUUUAGUUUAUCAUGAUCCUUUUCUGAGGGGAAGGCUGGGAAGGGCAAGGAGGCCCUGGAUCGUUGAAUUGAUACUUUAAUUUCUGCUGUUGGCUGUUAAUAAUUUGGAUUAUUUAUGUUUAUAAAUGAUACAGAUCUGUUUACAAGGUUUGUAGAUACUUUUUUUGUUCCUGUUCAUAGAUGGGAAGCUUCCUUAUAAAUGAUGCAGAGAAAAAAAAUACAACAAAAAAACAAAAAAACUAGUCCUUCAAAUACUGCUGUAUUUUCAGGAAAAGGGUGUUUCUAUUGAAACUGUACUAAAUUUUGCCUGCAAUUUACCUUGUUAAAUAUUGUAGAUAAAUUGCUAAUACUAAUAGCCAAAUAGAUAACACUAAUGCUUUGUAAAAACAUGAGCAGUGGUGUUCUAAUGAAGUUAUGGCCUCUGUCCUAAUUAGUUUCUUAAAUACAUUUACUACUUAAUGGUUUUGAAACAACUGUUUAAUUUUUAAAAAUUUUGAGAAACUUACUGAAUAACUUUUGUUCAGAACUUAGUAGGAUUGUUUAAUGCAGGACAUCAAUAUGUGAUGGAACUUGCUUGAAAUAUUUCUGUUAUCUCGGGCAAAAUGGAUUAAAUCAAAAUACAUCAGAAUCUUAGUCCUUUGUUUUUGUCUAAACAUGUUAGUUUAGUGCUGUCUUGGUGAACUGUGAGUGGAACUGUGAUUUUUUUCUAAUCUAUAGAAUCCUUCAUGCAGCAUGAGGGCUGUUGGCAUUUUGAAAGGUUGUUAGUGGGUAGCAUACAUGUUCUCCUUUUUGUUUUUGAAACUUGUUUGUAAACAUGAAUAAAUCUGCCCUUUUGUUAAAAUAAAAUUGCAGCGAUGGUUUCUUA